UUCUGUAUCCUGAUUAUAAUUACACAACUGUAUGCCUUUGUCAAAACUCCUAAGAAUUGUAUACCAGAAAGAGAAUAAUAUUGCACGUAAAUUUAAAAAGAAUAGCAGCAGAGAUGUUUAAUACUUACAAGGAUCAAACAUAUUAGUAUGACAUAAUUAAACCACUUUUUGAUCAAAACCCCCAAAUCAUACUGCCCCCAUUGUCAUCUCAGGCAUACUUAAUCAACAGCCAUCCUCUCACUACCAUAAACGACACACAUUAAGUUUUCAAUGAUGAAAACUAAUGAGAACUUUUCUACUUCUGCCACAAUAGUGACCAAGACAAAAGGUUUUGGAAUCAGAUAAAACUAGUUAUAUGACUUUGUACAAGAUUCUUAACCUCUAAGAUUUUAAUUUCCUUUAAUGUGAAAUGAACAAAAUAAUACAAUUCUCAUUACC